AGUGUCAACAUCUUUCAUAUUUUUUAAUAAUAUAGAACAAUGCUCUAAUAUACCGCACUUCUACAUUUAGCUUGCAACUAUAAAGAGAAGCACAAUCCUUUGCCUUUCCACAACACAAAGACACACAUUGGAGUCCCAAAGCAAACAGAUAUCUAGUUCUAAUACCCUCCAAAGCCAAAACCAAAUAGAAACAUCCACCCCAAGUCUCCAACAUAUAAAAUUCACAAACUAAGAAAGUUUUGAUCUUUCAAUCAAAAUGGCAGAGUUGAAAAGUGCUAUGGAAGAUUACGCACUUAUAUACCAAUGUAUUAGCAAUGACACCAGCCAAUGCCCCAAACUUAGGCAUAAUAUUGAUAUUCACUAGCUUACACAACAUUGUUACUGGUGCUGAGGACCAGAAAAGCAGAAGGAAGGUAUCAAAAAUUGGUGACAAACAAUGCGAUUCGAGCCCGUAUUUGCAAUAUCGAAGACAGGGUUAAGGUCGUCGAAUCGGUAAAAUAAGGAUGACUUGGGAAGCUUCAGUGAGUUUAUGGGCUGAAGAAGGAGGUUGUUGGAUUUGGGAGUCCAUUGCAUGUCAUCGUGUUUUGAAAAAGCUAAGUGAUGUUCUUCUAUUUAUAUUUGCAAGCUAAUUGUAGAAGUGAGAUAUAUUAGAGUGAUAACUCUUGUUUUUUAUAAAUAUUUUUGAUAUAUUAAAAAAUAUAAGAAAGUUUGACGCUAAACUUUUAAUUACUGAGAGUACUCUUUGUAUGUGAAAUAUAUGUGUCAUGUGGAUCCAUUACUCUUUGUGCU